GAUGAACGCUGGCGGCGUGCCUAAUACAUGCAAGUCGAGCGAACAGACGAGGAGCUUGCGCCUCUGACGUUAGCGGCGGACGGGCGAGUAACACGUGGAUAACAUACCUAUUAUACUGGGAUAACUUCGUGAAACCGGAGCUAAUACCGGAUAAUAUAAUGAACGGCAUGGUUCAAUAGUGCAAGACGGUUUUGCUGUCACUUAUAGAUGGAUCCGGGUCGGAUUAUCUAGUUGGUAAGGUAACGGCUCACCAAGGAGACGAUGCGGAGCCGACCUGAGAGGAUGUUCAGCCCCACUGGGGAUGAGACACGCUCCCGACUCCCACGGGAGGCAGCAGUGUGGAAUAUUGGCCGAUGGGCGCGAGCCUGUUCCAGACAUACCGCGUGUGUGAAGAAAGCCUUCGGGUUGUAAAACCCUUUUUUUGGGGAAAAAAAGCAGCGGGUUAAUACCCCGCCGUUUUGACAUUACCCAAAGGAAAAGCGCCGGCUAGCUUCGUG
rnacentral:rRNA from 1 species